rnacentral:rRNA from 1 species
UACGUAGGGCGCAAGCGUUGUCCGGAAUUAUUGGGCGUAAAGAGCUCGUAGGCGGCUUGUCACGUCGGAUGUGAAAGCCCGAGGCUUAACCUCGGGUCUGCAUUCGAUACGGGCUAGCUAGAGUGUGGUAGGGGGAGAUCGGAAUUCCUGGUGUAGCGGUGAAAAUGCGCAGAUAUCAGGAGGAACACCGGUGGCGAAGGCGGGAUCUCUGGGCCAUUACUGACGCUGAGGAGCGAAAGCGUGGGGAGCAAACAGG